GUGCCAGCAGCCGCGGUAAUACGUAGGUGGCAAGCGUUAUCCGGAAUUAUUGGGCGUAAAGCGCGCGUAGGCGGUUUUUUAAGUCUGAUGUGAAAGCCCACGGCUCAACCGUGGAGGGUCAUUGGAAACUGGAAAACUUGAGUGCAGAAGAGGAAAGUGGAAUUCCAUGUGUAGCGGUGAAAUGCGCAGAGAUAUGGAGGAACACCAGUGGCGAAGGCGACUUUCUGGUCUGUAACUGACGCUGAUGUGCG
rnacentral:rRNA from 1 species